GAUGAACGCUGGCGGCGUGCUUAACACAUGCAAGUCGAACGAAGCACUUUAUUUGAUUUCCUUCGGGACUGAUUAUUUUGUGACUGAGUGGCGGACGGGUGAGUAACGCGUGGGUAACCUGCCUUGUACAGGGGGAUAACAGUGGGAAACGCCUGCUAAUACCGCAUAGCCCCCCAGCAUCCCAUGAUGCGGUGGGAAAAACUCCGGUGGUAUAAGAUGGACCCGCGUUGGAUUAGCUAGUUGGUGAGGUAACGGCCCACCAAGGCGACGAUCCAUAGCCGACCUGAGAGGGUGACCGGCCACAUUGGGACUGAGACACGGCCCAAACUCCUACGGGAGGCAGCAGUGGGGAAUAUUGCACAAUGGGCGAAAGCCUGAUGCAGCGACGCCGCGUGAGCGAAGAAGUAUUUCGGUAUGUAAAGCUCUAUCAGCAGGGAAGAUAAUGACGGUACCUGACGAAGAAGCACCGGCUAAAUACGUG
rnacentral:rRNA from 1 species